rnacentral:misc_RNA from 1 species
GGACUGCUUUGCUGUGCCUGUGUUCACUCUAACCCUGAUGAGGCAAUUUCUCACCUUAUCAAACCCCUGUUGGAGUCUGCUCUAUCAUCCUUAAAAGGAACACCUGUUACAGGAUUUGGUGGAAGAGGAGCUUUUAAAAUUUCUGAAGCAAGCAAGGCAAAGCCAAUGGUCUCUCCCGCUCUCGAAACUGCAAUUGAAUAUCAUCUGAAAG